GACGAACGCUGGCGGCGUGCCUAAUACAUGCAAGUUGAGCGCUGAAGGUUGGUACUUGUACCAACUGGAUGAGCAGCGAACGGGUGAGUAACGCGUGGGGAAUCUGCCUUUGAGCGGGGGACAACAUUUGGAAACGAAUGCUAAUACCGCAUAAAAACUUUAAACACAAGUUUUAAGUUUGAAAGAUGCAAUUGCAUCACUCAAAGAUGAUCCCGCGUUGUAUUAGCUAGUUGGUGAGGUAAAGGCUCACCAAGGCGAUGAUACAUAGCCGACCUGAGAGGGGGAUCGGCCACAUUGGGACUGAGACACGGCCCAAACUCCUACGGGAGGCAGCAGUAGGGAAUCUUCGGCAAUGGACGAAAGGCUGACCGAGCAACGCCGCGUGAGGGAAGAAGGUUUUCGGAUCGUAAAACUCUGUUGGUAGAGAAGAACGUUGGUGAGAGUGGAAAGCUCAUCAAGUGACGGUAACUACCCAGAAAGGGACGGCUAACUACGUG
rnacentral:rRNA from 1 species